UACAGAGGGGGCAAGCAUUGUUCGGAAUUACUGGGCGUAAAGGGCGCGUAGGCGGCCUUCUAAGUCGAACGUGAAAUCCCCGGGCUCAACCCGGGAACUGCGUCCGAGACUGAAAGGCUCGAAUCCGGGAGAGGGAUGUGGAAUUCCAGGUGUAGCGGUGAAAUGCGUAGAUAUCUGGAGGAACAUCGGUGGCGAAGGCGGCAUCCUGGACCGGUAUUGACGCUGAGGCACGAAAGCGUGGGGAGCAAACAGG
rnacentral:rRNA from 1 species